CCAAAGACCCUCUUCUCCCACGGCGUCGAGACUGACGUAGCUAGCAGAGCCAAGACGACGCCGNCGCUUCUCACCNCAGGUUGCGAGGUCGUUCGCCGUCAGAACCGCUGGCGACAACGCCGGUCACCACCUCCGUACCAAACGCCGCGAGCCGCCGUCCAAGGCGUCGUCUAGUAGCGUCGAUCACCGUCACUACUGCUGCCGGCCACUGCACCAAUCCCCCUCUUCUC
rnacentral:lncRNA from 1 species